rnacentral:rRNA from 1 species
UACGUAGAAGACUAGUGUUAUUCAUCUUUAAUAGGUUUAAAGGGUACCUAGACGGUAUAAUUAGUCUUUAACAGGAAACGGUUAUACUAGAGUUAUAUAUGAGGAGGUGAGUAUUUGUGGAGUAGAGUUGAAAUUCUUUGAUACCAUGAAGACUGGUAAAGGCGAAAGCAACCUUUUAUCUAAUAACUGACGUUGAGGGACGAAGGCUCGGGUCGC